CCUACGGGAGGCUGCAGUGGGUGAUAUUGCACAAUGGGGGAAACCCUGAUGCAGCGACGCCGCGUGUGGGCAGACGGUCCUCUGGAUUUUAUACCACUGUCCCCAGGGACGAAGAUGACGGUACCUGGGGAGGAAGCUCCGGCUAACUACGUGCCAGCAGCCGCGGUAAUACGUAGGGAGCGACGGUUGUCCGGAAUUACUGGGUGUAAAGGGAGCGUAGGCGGGACUGCAAGUUGGGUGUCAAAUCUACCGGCUCAAACGGUAGCCGCACGCAAAACUGCAGUUCUUGAGUACAGUUGAGGUAGGCGGAAGUCGUGGUGUAGCGGUGAAAUGCUUAGAUAUCACGAAGAACUCCGAGUGCUAAGGCAGCUUACUAAACUGCCACUGACAUUGAUGCUCGAAAGUGUGGGUAUCAAACAGGAUUAGAUACCCCAGGAGUC
rnacentral:rRNA from 1 species